rnacentral:rRNA from 1 species
UACGGAGGGGGCUAGCGUUGUUCGGAAUUACUGGGCGUAAAGCGCACGUAGGCGGCUUUGUAAGUUAGAGGCGAAAGCCCGGGGCUCAACUCCGGAACUGCCUUUAAGACUGCAUCGCUAGAAUUGUGGAGAGGUGAGUGGAAUUCCGAGUGUAGAGGUGAAAUUCGUAGAUAUUCGGAAGAACACCAGUGGCGAAGGCGACUCACUGGACACAUAUUGACGCUGAGGUGCGAAAGCGUGGGGAGCAAACAGG